ACAAAAUGUAUCUCUCUCGCUUUCAUUCUCUGAUCUAUGUUGUGGUUUUAUUUCAAAAUAGCAGCUUCUGCAUUCCGCGUCGUGCCGUCCGAUAUUAAACAGCCUGCAGAUUUCACCCAUGCCCGGCCUGAUCGAGUUACAGCGAGAGAAGACUGACUACAGCGCGGCCCGAAUUCUGUUUGUGGCGCAGUCUCGACCCGCAUUCGAUUGCCGUUACUGUGAGCGGCGAAGAUGAAGUUUGAUCCCUGCGAAAAGGUCGUCGGAGCCCGCUUUAAACAGGCCGUGCUGUCGCCCCGCCGCCCAGAGCAUGCUGGCUUCGUAGCAACCCCCCCGGCGCCAUGGUAACGGCUGCCUAUGUCAUCGCGGAGGAGCGAGGACCGGGAGGAGGACCUUGCCUGAUUUCUUCGUCAUGGCGCUUGGGUGGAAGAAACAGGAAACCGGCAGCGAGAUUCCAUGCAAAUUACAUUCCACGUUUGAUGUGCGGACUGGACUGGGACGGUUCUGGAGUCGAGAUCUCAACCCCGCAACGUACUAUAGCGUAAAAGGUCGUUUGGUUGCGCCUCGAUGGCGACUUUUCACUUGCAGUGUAGUUUUGGUGAGUUCCGGUUGUCUGCUGUCCAAAGAGGCGCAACGUGAGACGAGUCUGGGUUCAGAAUCGGGUAGCCUCCAAAUUUUAAGGAGGUAAAAACAACAACCUGCAAAUCAAUCAUCGCUAACUACAAGAAGGACGACGGGGCUCUCAGUUCCUGCCUGCUUAAAAACACAAUCUCGCGGCUCUGCUCUGUGUCAGCGCUGUCGAUGCGUGGCCUGAUUAGGGCAGGAGGCGACAGGAUGUUGACACUGUACACACCGGCGUGUUGUGCGCUCGCCGUCGGGUUGAUAAUCCUGCUCAAAAUCAAGACGGGACCAAACGCUGAUAAUGGUUUGAGGUCAGGGGUGGCUAAACAUUUGCGCCCCGUGGCCGACGAUUGUUUUGAAAAUGGACAGAUGGGGCGGGUCAUUCGUAGAUGAGGAAAUAAUGAUUGAAAGAAAAAGAUGUAUUUAAAAAAAAAAAAAAAAAAGCCCUUUCAUUGGACUUGAGGCAAGCCCAAAAACUUCUGGCCGCUCUCAUGGACCCUGAAGUUCUCUGUUAAGGGAUUAAGGCUUGAAUGAACGGCCCCAAGUGCGGCCGAUAAGUGGGGAGAACCCGCCCGUCACAAAGGGGGCUCAUGUGAAGGUGGGCCGGUCCAGCAUGAGUACAAUUACGGGGCUGUUUUCGGGAGGACCGACCCCCCCGCAAGUGAACCCGACCAGAAUGUCUUCCGUUCUCAUCGACUGAUUGCAGCACGGACAAAAUACUGGUCACUUCCUUCGCUAUCAAUGACCAUAUGAUGUCAUAUCGCACUUCAUGCGCUUCCUAUUCAUAUUUUGUAAAGUGUCAAAAAUGAGUCGGAGGAGGUAACAAACUGGACCAAAAUAUUUAUGUCAACGACAACAAAAAAACUGCAAACAUGUCAUUCAACAAAGUCUGAAACGUAUGAGAAUUAAUUUGUAAUAACUCAUGUUCAAUUUGUCAUGUAAUAAUACAACAAUACUGGAGCCAAAGGGCGGCACGGUGGUAAAGCUGGAAAAGCGUUGGCCUCACAGUUCUGAGGACCCGGAUUCGAUCCCGGCCCCGCCCGUGUGCCGUUUGCAUGUUCUCCCCGUGCAAAGGUGGGUUUUAUCCGGGAACUUCGAUUUCCUCCCACAUGCCCAAAACAUGCAACAUUAAUUGGACAUUCUAAAUUGCCCCUAGGUGUGAUUGUGAGUGCGGCUGUUUGUCUCUAUGUGCCUUGCGAUUGGCUGGCGACCAGUUAAGGGUGUAACCCCGCCUCCUGCCCGUUGACAGCCGGGAUAGGUUCCAGCACUCCCCGCGACCCUCGUGAGGAUAAGCGGCAAAGAAAAUGGAUGGAUUGAUUGGGCCAAAGUUAAUCUAGCAAAGAAAGCCAUAUUUCAACAAAAGCAUUUCAAAAUAAAUGUCAUUCUUGAAAUAUUCCUCCUUUUUAUGCCUGCGAAAACUUGUUUUCUCGCUCGAGUGUAUUCUUAAAAGAACUUUUUAUUCUUG